CAUGUAGGCGGUCUGCUAAGUUCGGAGUGACAGUCACCAGCUUAACUGGUGAAGGACUUUGAAAACUGGCGGACUUGAGAGCGAAAGAGGGACAUGGAAUUCCGGGUGGAGCAGUGAAAUGCGUAGAGAUCCGGAGGAACACCAAAGGCGAAGGCAGUGUCCUGGCUCGUUUCUGACGCUGAGGUGCGAAAGCCAGGGGAGCGAACGGGAUUAGAUACCCCGGUAGUCCUGGCCGUAAACGAUGACCACCAGGUGUGGGAGGGAUCGACCCCUUCCGUGCCGUAGUCAACACAUUAAGUGGUCCGCCUGGGGAGUACGGUCGCAAGACUAAA
rnacentral:rRNA from 1 species